rnacentral:rRNA from 1 species
AGCAGCAGCCGCGGGAACACGGAGGAUCCGAGCGUUAUCCGGAAUUAUUGGGUUUAAAGGGUGCGUAGGCGGAUAGAUAAGUCAGUGGUGAAAGACGGUGGCUCAACCAUCGCAGUGCCGUUGAUACUGUUUAUCUUGAAUAUGGAUGAGGUAGGCGGAAUGUGGCAAGUAGCGGUGAAAUGCAUAGAUAUGCCACAGAACACCGAUUGCGAAGGCAGCUUACCAAGGCAAAAUUGACGCUGAGGCACGAAAGCGUGGGGAUCGAACAGGAUUAGAUACCCGCGUAGUCCCUGUCUCUUAUAC